UUGGUUCUGGCAUCGAUGAAGAACGCAGCGAAAUGCGAUAAGUAGUGUGAAUUGCAGAAUUCAGUGAAUCAUCGAAUCUUUGAACGCACAUUGCGCCCUUUGGUAUUCCAAAGGGCAUGCCUGUUCGAGCGUCAUUUGUACCCUCAAGCUUUGCUUGG
rnacentral:rRNA from 1 species